CGAGGCAAUGAGAACACCCUGGCAGGGCAGCUGAGCUGGGUGGAUCCUUGUUCUGUCACCAAGCCUUUAAGUCAUAUGCUGACAUGUUACAGUCCUGCCUGGGACCCUGCCCACAAAUACUUAAGAUACACGACUUUGGGAAUCACCCAACUGAUGGAAAGAACCAGGAAAGGGGUCAGGAUCUGCACCUUGGCAAACUUUGAAGAACACCCAAUUUGAUGAAUGAAAACUCCUCACUUGUGCUCUGGUGGUGUUUUAGGACAAUGGGCCCCUCCUGGAUGCUCCAGUGAAGCCCCAUAUCACCUUUUUCCUUCCUGUUUGCCAUAGCUCCAGGUGUAGGGACAGAUCAGAAGAUUCUGGAAAAGGCAGAUCACCAAAGAACUCAAGAUGUACUGAUAUUUUGCCAGUUUCCUUCAUCAACAAGGAUGGUAGAAAAUAGCAGCAAGUAAGGACUACAGAUUUCACCCAGAGGCAGAGCAGACAAAAGAGACAACAGUUUCCUGGGAAAGGAAGAUGAUUCCAGAAAGGUUGUACCUGCCUACAAGAUUAUCAACACCAUGUGAGAACAUCCACUUUGCU
rnacentral:lncRNA from 10 species